rnacentral:rRNA from 1 species
UCUCGUUGAUCCUGCCAGUAGCAUAUGCGUGUCUGAAAGAUAUAAGCCAUGCACGUUUUAGUACAAACGACUGGUACAAUUGAAACUGCAAAUGGCUCAUUAAAUCAGUUAUGGUUCCAUUGAUCACUCCAUUUGUUACUUGGAUAACUGUGGUAAUUCUAGCACUAAUACAUGCCGACUAGCGCAGACCUCCCGGGAUGCGUGCAUUUAUCAGACCCAAGACCAAUCCGGGCUCGCCGCUGCUUUAGUGACUCUAGAUAACCUCAGGCCAAUCGCACAUCCAUGUGACCGCGACGAUGCAUUCAGAUGUCUGCCCUAUCAACUUUAGAUGGUACUUUCUGUGCCUACCAUGGUGACCAUAGGUAAUGGGGAAUCAGAGUUUGAUUCUGGAGAGGGAGCCAGAGUAACGGCUACCACAUCAAGGAAUGCAGCAGGCGCCCAAAUUACCCAAUCCUGACUCCGGGGAGGUAGUGACGAAAACAAUACAGGACUCUUGAGGCACUGUAAUUGGAAUGAGUACACUUUAAAUCCUUUAACGAAUACCCAUUGGAGAGCAAGUCUGGUGCCAGCAGCCGCAGUAAUUCCACCUCCAAUAGCAUAUGUUAAAGUUGCUGCAGUUAAAAAGCUCGUAGUUGGAUCUUGGCAUCGAGCUGGCUGUCCGCCGCGAGGCGAGCUACCACUGCCUGUGCCAGCCCCUGCCUCUUGGUGAAGAGCAUCAAGGGGGCGCCGAGUGUCCUGGAGGUCUGAAGCGUUUAUUUUGAAAAAAGUACAGUGUUCAAAGCAGGCUGAUCACCUGAAUACUUUAGCUAGGAAUAAUGGAAUAGGACACUGGUUCCAUUUUGUGUUUUUCUGAACUGGGGCCGUGAUUAAGAGGGACGGCAGGGGGCAUUCAUAUUGUGCCGCUAGAUGUGGCAUUCCUGGACCAGCGCAAGACGAACCAAAGUGAAAGCAUUAGCCAAUAAUGUUCUAAUUAAUCUACGGUCGUAGUUCCAAACAAACUAUGCCGAUUAGCGAUCUGGCAGUGUUAUUCUCAUAUUCCCAUGACCUGCUGAGCAGCUUCUGGGAAAUCAAAGUCUUUGGUUUCUCAGGGUGGAGGUUUGUAUGGUUGCAAAGCUGAUGAUGGAAGGGAACCACCAGGAAUGGAGCCUGCGUCUUGAAACCUCACCCGGCCCAGACACCGAAAAGAUUGACAGAUUGAUAGCACUUUCUUGAUUCUGUGGGGGGGGGGGGUGGAGUGGGGCAUGGCCGUCGUAGUUGGUGGAUCGAUUUGUCCGGUUAAAUCCAAUAACCAACAAGACUCCUCCAUGAUUUGCCAUGAACAAGGAAUUCCCAUUAAGUGCGGGUCAUAAGCUUGCGUUGAUCUUUGUACACACGCCGUCGCUACUACAGAUUGGAUGGUUUAGUGAGGUCCUCGCAUCGGCGAGAAGAUGAUCAAAGAGGAAGUCGUACGGGUUGGGUUAACCUGCUGGGGACGUUCUGCCACCGGAGAGGGGGGGGGGAUCAUGG